CUUGGUCAUUUAGAGGAAGUAAAAGUCGUAACAAGGUCUCCGUUGGUGAACCAGCGGAGGGAUCAUUACAAGAAGCCGAAAGGCUACUUAAAACCAUCGCGAACUUAUCCAAGUUGCUUCGGCGGCGCGGCUCCCCUCACGGGGGACCGCAGCCCCCGCCUCUCACGAGGCAAGGGGCAGCCGCCGGAGGUACGAAACUCUGUAUUAUAGUGGUAUCUCUGAGUAUAAAACAAAUAAGUUAAAACUUUCAACAACGGAUCUCUUGGUUCUGGCAUCGAUGAAGAACGCAGCGAAAUGCGAUAAGUAAUGUGAAUUGCAGAAUUCAGUGAAUCAUCGAAUCUUUGAACGCACAUUGCGCCCGCUAGUACUCUAGCGGGCAUGCCUGUUCGAGCGUCAUUUCAACCCUCAAGCUCUGCUUGGUGUUGGGGCUCUACGUCUGACGUAGGCCCUGAAAGGAAGUGGCGGGCUCGCUACAACUCCGAGCGUAGUAAUUCAUUAUCUCGCUAGGGAAGUGUGGCGUUCUCCAGCCGUUAAAGACCCCAUCUUUAACCAAGGUUGACCUCGGAUCAGGUAGGAAUACCCGCUGAACUUAAGCAUAUC
rnacentral:rRNA from 1 species